rnacentral:misc_RNA from 1 species
AAGGAGAGUUUUUUGUUCAGGGAUCACACCUGGAACAAUUUCUUCAGGAAGCAAGGAGAAUACAACAGACUUUACGAUGGCGUGUCCUUCACGUGCUACUUUCAAGUUGCAAACAAGGAGACGAGCACAAUUGUUCUUGUGAUGAAAAUGUUUUUCUAUGAAACUCGGACUUUUGAUGAGAGCAUACCAGUGCUUGCACACACAUUUGAAACGCAACAGUGAUUCCACUGGCAAUCUCAAUAGAAU